UACGAAGGUCCCGAGCGUUGUUCGGAAUCAUUGGGCGUAAAGGGAGCGUAGGCGGCGUGGUAAGUCAGAUGUGAAAUCCCGGGGCUCAACCCCGGAACUGCAUCCGAUACUGCCAUGCUAGAGUGAUGGAGAGGUAGCUGGAAUUCUUGGUGUAGCAGUGAAAUGCGUGGAGAUCAAGAGGAACACUCGUGGCGAAGGCGGGCUGCUGGACAUUUACUGACGCUGAGGCUCGAAGGCCUGGGUAGCAAAAGGG
rnacentral:rRNA from 1 species